rnacentral:rRNA from 1 species
AAGCACUUCACUUUUAUUCUUCGGAUGCGAGGUGAUUUGACUGAGCGGCGGACGGGUGAGUAACGCGUGGGCAACCUGCCUCAUACAGGGGGAUAACAGUUAGAAAUGACUGCUAAUACCGCAUAAGACCGCGGUGCCGCAUGGCACAGCGGUAAAAACUCCGGUGGUAUGAGAUGGGCCCGCGUCUGAUUAGCUAGUUGGCGGGGUAACGGCCCACCAAGGCGACGAUCAGUAGCCGACCUGAGAGGGCGACCGGCCACAUUGGGACUGAGACACGGCCCAAACUCCUACGGGAGGCAGCAGUGGGGAAUAUUGCACAAUGGGGGAAACCCUGAUGCAGCGACGCCGCGUGAGCGAUGAAGUAUUUCGGUAUGUAAAGCUCUAUCAGCAGGGAAGAAGAUGACGGUACCUGACUAAGAAGCCCCGGCUAACUACGUGCCAGCAGCCGCGGUAAUACGUAGGGGGCAAGCGUUAUCCGGAUUUACUGGGUGUAAAGGGAGCGUAGACGGCGAUGCAAGCCAGAUGUGAAAGCCCGGGGCUCAACCCCGGGACUGCAUUUGGAACUGUGUGGCUGGAGUGUCGGAGAGGCAGGCGGAAUUCCUAGUGUAGCGGUGAAAUGCGUAGAUAUUAGGAGGAACACCAGUGGCGAAGGCGGCCUGCUGGACGAUGACUGACGUUGAGGCUCGAAAGCGUGGGGAGCAAACAGGAUUAGAUACCCUGGUAGUCCACGCCGUAAACGAUGACUGCUAGGUGUCGGGCGGCAAAGCCGUUCGGUGCCGCAGCAAACGCAAUAAGCAGUCCACCUGGGGAGUACGUUCG